GCCCGCUUGGCUCAGUGGUAGAGCGUGUCACUAGUACCAAAUAAUGACAAGGUCAUCAGUUCGAUUCUGAUAGUGGGCA